rnacentral:rRNA from 1 species
GAUGAACGCUGGCGGCGUGCCUAAUACAUGCAAGUCGAGCGAACAGACGAGGAGCUUGCUCCUCUGACGUUAGCGGCGGACGGGUGAGUAACACGUGGAUAACCUACCUAUAAGACUGGGAUAACUUCGGGAAACCGGAGCUAAUACCGGAUAAUAUAUUGAACCGCAUGGUUCAAUAGUGAAAGACGGUUUUGCUGUCACUUAUAGAUGGAUCCGCGCCGCAUUAGCUAGUUGGUAAGGUAACGGCUUACCAAGGCGACGAUGCGUAGCCGACCUGAGAGGGUGAUCGGCCACACUGGAACUGAGACACGGUCCAGACUCCUACGGGAGGCAGCAGUAGGGAAUCUUCCGCAAUGGGCGAAAGGCUGACGGAGCAACGCCGCGUGAGUGAUGAAGGUCUUCGGAUCGUAAAACUCUGUUAUUAGGGAAGAACAAAUGUGUAAGUAACUAUGCACGUCUUGACGGUACCUAAUCAGAAAGCCACGGCUAACUACGUG